rnacentral:lncRNA from 1 species
AUAGAGCUCUUUGUGAUUUUUUGCCUGGAGGUGCAUGAAUCACCAGACGUAGCAGUGGCAAUUUCAAAUUGUCAUCAUCAAUGUAUGCAAGAUCUCCUGUUGAUUGAAAGGCAGACUCUUAGUCAUCACAAGCAAUCUACAGUACAACUCUCCCUUAACAAUAAAACACUAGUAAUCCACAAAAAUCAAAUGAAAAACCAAUAGACUAGAUUGACGGAGCAAGAGAGAAACUACUAUUAAGUGUAGACCAAACAAAAAAAAACUAACUAAAAUAUCACCAUAUGCCCUCCACCACAAACCUCUCGAAAUGCCUAUAUGUUGAUACAACAACUAUGAAUAUAAAUUACUCAUAUUUAAUUAUACACUCAAAUCAGUACUUUUUUAUUUUUUAAAGAGAGAAAUUUUCUAUUCUUUUUUAUUUUUAUAUAAAGGUUUAGCUCUCUUGUCGUUGCCGCUCAUAGGCCUCGUCUAUCCCUCGGAACAGGAGAAGAUCGACCUUUGCCCUCCCGAUCCGUAGGUUACUCUCUCCACUAUUUGAUGGCAUAAAUAGUUUUAUUUUGUUAUGUUAAGGGUAUAUAGAACCUAUUUGAGAGAGUGUUUUUUUAUGGAUCUGCCUUCUAUGGUUAUUUUCAUUUUAGGUAUUGUCUUUUCUUUAAGUUUGCAGGGUUCCUUUUGCUGAACAACGAAGAGAAGUUCUUUUACUCAAAGGUUUUGGUUCUUCAUUUGGUGGCUAUGGAGAGGAGGUCAACUGGGUUCUUGUUAAUGGUUCUUUUGUUGUCCUUGCAACUUUUGGAAUCUCUUUCCCUUCUUUUUCAUAUCUUUUGAGCAUCUUUUAACAAGAAAAGUCAAAUUUGGGGUUUUUAUUUUUAUUGUGAUAGCAAAGACAAUAAGUUUGCCGGAAGAAGCUCACAAAGCUAAGUCUAAUCCCAAAGGCGCGAGAGAAUUCAUCAAAGAGCCUUCCUCCUCCAUGUCUCAUCGUUGGGAGUUGAUAUUGAUUUUUCUUGUUGGCUUCUCUGGACAUGCAUCCUCCUUAGUGGAUGGCCCCGUUCUCUUUGUGGUUAGUCGACUCUUUUUCCUUUAAUUCCCAACUCCUUUCUUAUCCAGAAGACCUUUCUGGAAAUCAGCUCCUUGACAAUCGAUGUUGUGCAUCUUUAGAGGCGGCACUGGUGCUAGUUUGCUUGGAUUGUUGGGUCAAGGUAGGUGGAUUCCUUGCAAGUUCCAAUUUAGUUUUAGUUUUGGAUCGUGGACCUCUGUGCUUUGGGGUUGGGUUGGCCUCUUUGUAAUGAGUUGCACUUUUUAGAUACUUUAAGCUAGGUCUAUGAUAUUUGCUCAUUGCCUUUAAGACUUAAUGAAAUAUUAUCUUUGUAAAAAAAAAAAUUCGCUCGUUAGGAUGGGCAUUCAAUCGAAAUCGAGUUAAAGAGUUUUACUUAAAUUAAAUCGAACUAAAUAAGAGAAAAAAAAAAUCAAAUCAAUUGAAUCCAUCUAAUUUAGUUAGAUUCAUUCAUUUUCAGUCUUUUCAAAGAACAGCUAACACAAAAUUUAAACACAAUUUCAAAGCUCAACGGCACAGUUAUAUGAUUUUCUCAAUAGUUAAUACUCCUGAGAAUAAAAAAUAGAAGCCUAGAACUCCUAAGAAUAAAAAAUAGUUACCUUCUUGGCUUCUAUAGUUAAUUCAACACUCAACAGCACACAACACAGUAGAAGAGUGGAUCUGCAGAUCUUCAACAGCGAAUCGACGACAGAGCUACAGGACUGGAGGCGCGAGAGCUGACAAGGAAAGCAAAGCAAUGGAGUCCACUUGCCUCUUGGUCUCGGAGACUGGUCGACAGAGUGGAAGCACGAUCUGAGAUGGUGAGAGGCUGAUUGAGAGGACGGAGAGGACAGAGGAAUCACACGGUCGCGCGUAUAUGAACAGCAACGAGCCGACUAUGCAUGGAGACUAGAGAGCGACGUCGACGAUGCGUGGAGAGACUGGAGAGUGACGAUGCGAGCAAUGCCGGCGGCCCGACGGUGCAUGAAGACAUUGGAGAGUGACAAUGUGUGGAUGUGGAGUCACUAGAGAGUGGCAGAGGACUCGCGACGCCGACAGCCCGAUGAUAUGUGGAGAGGAUACUAGACUGAAGGAGAGUGGAGAGUGAGAUGCGUGCGACUGUGUGGAGAGUGGAGACAGACUAGAGGAAAGAGUGAAAGGACGUCAAUGGAUGGGAAUUGAAACUCUUUUAGAUUAGGGAACUGUUAAACGAUACAGUAUUAAUUUUAUUCGAUUUGGGGUGGUCCAACCGA